rnacentral:rRNA from 1 species
UACGUAGGGGGCAAGCGUUGUCCGGAUUUAUUGGGCGUAAAGAGCGUGUAGGCGGCCAUUCAGGUCAGCUGUGAAAACUCGAGGCUCAACCUCGAGACGUCGGUUGAAACCGUUUGGCUAGAGUCCGGAAGAGGAGAGUGGAAUUCCCGGUGUAGCGGUGAAAUGCGCAGAUAUCGGGAAGAACACCCGUGGCGAAGGCGGCUCUCUGGGGACGGUACUGACGCUGA